GACGAACGCUGGCGGCGUGCUUAACACAUGCCAGUCGAACGGAAAGGCCCUUCGGUGUCCUCUAGUGGCGAACGGGUGAGUGACACGUUGGUGAUCUGCUCUGCACUUUGUGAUAAGCCUGGGACACUGGGUCUAAUACCGAAUUGGCCCACGCUCUUCUUGGUGUGUGGUUGAAAGCUUUUGCGGCGUUGGUUGGGCCCGCGGCCUAUCAGCUAGUUGGUCGUGUACUGGCCGACCAAGGCGAAGACUGAUAGCCGGCCUGUGAGUGUGACCGGGGACACGGGGACUGAGAUACGGAGCAGAAUGCUACGGGAGGCAGCAGUGGGGAGUAUUGCACAAUGGGCGCAAGCCUGAUGCAGAGACGCCGGGUGAGGAAUGACGGCCUACGGGUUGUAAACCUAUUUGAAUGGGGACGAGGCGGAAGUGACGGUACCUAUAGAAGAAGCACCGGCUAACUACGUG
rnacentral:rRNA from 1 species